rnacentral:rRNA from 1 species
GGGUGCUUAACACAUGCAAGUCGAGCGAUGAAGCACCUCGGGUGUGAAUUAGCGGCGAACGGGUGAGGAACACGUGAAGAAUCUGCCUUCAACUCUGGGAUAACUCCGGGAAACCGGGGCUAAUACCGGAUAUGAGCCUUGAUCGCAUGAUCGGGGCUGGAAAGUUUUUCGGUUGAAGAUGACUUCGCGGCCUAUCAGCUUGUUGGUGAGGUAAUGGCUCACCAAGGCGACGACGGGUAGCCGGCCUGAGAGGGCGACCGGCCACACUGGGACUGAGACACGGCCCAGACUCCUACGGGAGGCAGCAGUGGGGAAUAUUGGGCAAUGGAGGAAACUCUGACCCAGCGACGCCGCGUGAGGGAUGAAGGCCUUCGGGUUGUAAACCUCUUUCAGUAGGGAAGAAGCGAAAGUGACGGUACCUACAGAAGAAGCACCGGCUAACUAUGUGCCAGCAGCCGCGGUAAUACAUAGGGUGCAAGCGUUGUCCGGAAUUAUUGGGCGUAAAGAGCUCGUAGGUGGUUCGAUACGUCGGAUGUGAAAAUCAGGGGCUCAACCCCUGACCUGCAUCCGAUACGGCAGCUAGAGUUUGGUAGGGGAGACUGGAAUUCCUGGUGUAGCGGUGGAAUGCGCAGAUAUCAGGAGGAACACCGAUGGCGAAGGCAGGUCUCUGGGCCAAUACUGACACUGAGGACGAAAGCGUGGGGAGCGAACAGAUUAGAUACCCUGGUAGUCCACGCCGUUAAACGGUGGGCGCUAG